rnacentral:lncRNA from 1 species
AUAAACCUUAAUUACAGAUCAUAUCUCUUUGUUUCAAGUACGAGAUUCUUUGGGGUUUUUAGAUCUCACUCCAGUAUUUACCAUAGCUAUGUAAGGUAUUAGUAAUAGUGGAAAUCGGGUAUUUAGGAACUCUCUAUAAAUGUUUCUAGAUCCAUUUUUAUUUUCUGUAAAUGUAAAACUAUUUUAAAAUAAAAUUUAUUUAACAAUAAAUAAAGCUAGGAGCAAACAUAUUUUUAACAAUGAGCAUGCAUUUGCUCUCCUACUGGAAGGUCUGAAGGUUGGCUGAGAUGAUUCUGCAUUCGUUUCAGGUUUGCAAGUCAGCUGGGGCAGCUUGGAUCAACCUGGCUCAUUUGGAGCCCUGGUUACCCAGCAUAUGCUCUUCUCAUGGCAAUGUCAGGAAUACAAGAGAAAGAAGCCAACUAAACAAGCACGUCUGAAGCCUUUGCUCAUCUCAUAUCUGCCAAUGUUCUAUCAACAAAAUCAAGUCAACAGUCAAGCCAAAGUCAAGAAUAUACCUGGCAGGCAUCUGACUAUGAAAAGAUGGCCAAAGAGGGGGAAAGAUAUAGAGGCAUUCCAGCAGCACAGUAAAAACAAUCAAGUUAGCAUCCAAAAAACUGAAUCGAAAACAAUGCCGACCAGCUUUCACGUACACACAGCCCUGUCUUCAAAUCCACCAAACAUCUGA